AAAUAGUCACCAGAUGCCGAAUCUCUGCGACUGCUUUGUUCGGUGUGACCGACGGACGCGAUUCAUAGUUUUGAAGAACACCUUCUUCAAAUGUUUCCGCACGUCAGUGAGUAGCAGCGCCGCAAUCCUUUGUCGACGACGCGUUCUGUGGCCCUGGAAAAUGCCUUGACGCUCGGGGACGGCCGGUAGCUCGGCGAUUCCUCGCUUGGCGCACCAUUGAAAACCGGCGGUCAUCCAGCAGUGUACGCUGCCAGCGUAUUUUUAUUGCCAGAGGUAGCAAACAGCAGUGCCACAACAAACAGUGGAGUGCUGACCAUGCAGUCCAGAAGGUGGCUGAGGCAAGUAUGCUAUAGGAGGUGCUUAUUCAGGCAGAAGAAAUAAGCAUCUGUAGCCAACGUAAAGUGCUUUGACUGUGCUUCCUCACCGCACCGCUCUGGCACAGUGGCACACCGAGGAAGCCCCUCUUCAGGAUGGUCAGGCUGAGCGAGAAACUGAAACCAGCUGGAAUGUUUGUUCUAUCCCCUGUGGCUUCAUUAUUACACCACUUAAUCAAAAAAUUCAUGUGACAACAUGUUCACGUUGUACAAGCGUGCAGUUGUCACAAAUUUUAGACUCCGGGGUUGUUUAGGGGCCCU